GUUCAUAGCUCAGUGCUAGAGUAUCUGCCUUGCACGCAGAAGAUCAACUGGUUCAACUCCUGGCCUCUCCA